UUAAAUUUGAUUAAGUGAUUAGUAUAUGUACAAUAGUUAUGCAUUGGAUGAUGGAUUGAUUUGAUGCAUAAAUGCUGCCCAAUUUGUUGCAUAAUGCUGUCCAAUUUUGAUGCUUAAAUGCUGCCCAAUUUGUUACAUAAUGCUGUCCAAUUUUGAUGCCUAAAUGCUGCCCAAUUUGUUACAUAAUGCUGUCCAAUUUUGAUGCUUAAAUGCUGCCCAAUUUGUUACAUAAUGCUGUCCAAUUUUGAUGCUUAAAUGNN
rnacentral:lncRNA from 1 species